AGAGUUUGAUCCUGGCUCAGGAUGAACGUUGGCGGCGUGCCUAACACAUGCAAGUCGAACGGGAAGCUUGAUUUCGAUUAAGCGGAGAGUGGCGAACGGGUGAGUAACACGUAGCUUAUCUGCCCCGAAGAGGGGGAUAACUCACGGAAACGUGGGCUAAUACCCCAUAAGCUCACGAACUAUAGAGGUUAGUGAGAAAAGCUGAGGCGCUUUGGGAUGAGGCUGCGACCCAUCAGCUAGUUGGUGUGGUAAGAGCACACCAAGGCAACGACGGGUAGGGGGCCUGAGAGGGUGACCCCCCACACUGGGACUGAGACACGGCCCAGACUCCUACGGGAGGCAGCAGUGAGGAAUAUUGCACAAUGGACGAAAGUCUGAUGCAGCGACGCCGCGUGGGUGAUGAAGGUUUUCGGAUCGUAAAGCCCUUUUCUUGGUGACGAGGAAGGACGGUAGCCAAGGAAUAAGUGUCGGCUAACUACGUGCCAGCAGCCGCGGUAAAACGUAGGACGCAAAUGUUAUCCGGAAUUACUGGGCGUAAAGCGCGCGCAGGCGGGUCAUCAAGUCAUGCGUGAAAGCUCCCGGCUAAACUGGGAGAGGUCGGAUGAGACUGAUGGUCUUGAGUGUGUCAGAGGAAUGUGGAAUUCCGCGUGUAGUGGUGAAAUGCGUAGAUAUGCGGAGGAACACCAGUGGCGAAGGCGGCAUUCUGGGACACAACUGACGCUGAGGCGCGAAAGCAUGGGUAGCGAACGGGAUUAGAAACCCCGGUAGUCCAUGCCGUAAACGAUGUACACUAAACGUUCGUGCAGCCUAGCUGUGUGAGUGUUGAAGCAAACGCGAUAAGUGUACCGCCUGGGGAGUACGGUCGCAAGGCUAAAACUCAAAGGAAUUGACGGGGGCCCGCACAAGCAGCGGAGCGUGUGGUUUAAUUCGAGGCUACGCGAAAAACCUUACCUGGACUUGACAUUUAUGUGAACAAAGGUGAAAGCCGGAGGUCUCUUCGGAGUACAUAGACAGGUGCUGCAUGGCUGUCGUCAGCUCGUGUCAUGAGAUGUUCGGUUAAGUCCGAAAACGAGCGCAACCCCUAGGUUUAGUUACAAGUGUCUAAACCGACUGCCCACGACAAGUGGGAGGAAGGUGGGGAUGACGUCAAGUCAGCAUGGCCUUUAUGUCCAGGGCUACACACACGCUACAAUGGCGCGUACAAUAGGUAGCGAAGCCGCGAGGUGGAGCCAAUCCAGUAAAGCGCGUCGUAGUUCGGAUUGUAGGCUGCAACUCGCCUGCAUGAAGUCGGAGUUGCUAGUAACCGCAAAUCAGCACGUUGCGGUGAAUACGUUCCC
rnacentral:rRNA from 1 species